rnacentral:lncRNA from 1 species
CGUCCCACGAGAGUGACCAUAUUCAGGUAAGAACCUCAAAUUUGAACUCUUUAAUCCCAUAAUAAAUUGUAUAUUCAUGAAUUAAUGAAUGUGUUGUCACUUGGAGGGGAAGGAGUAUUAUAUUGGUUUUUAGAAUGCAUUAUUCUUUCAAUUAAUGUUGUUGUACGUGGAUUUGGGAAUUUGGGGUACAAGUUUUAGUGGGGUAUUCAUGUGAGGUAGGUCAGGAGGUAAGGAAUUGGAUGUUGGGCAACAUGUUACAGUGGGGGAAGAGAAAGUAUUGUCCUCGAUUGUUAAUUAAUGAGGUGCUAAUGAUUACUAUUUCAGAGAAGGCAUAAUUUCUGUAUAUUUCUAACCAUAAAUUGACACCACCGACAUUUUUAUGUGGCUCCGUUGUUUGAGAUUUUCUUUAGUUAUCAUAUUAUGACUCACGUUUUAAUAUCUUGAGUAGGUAGUUAAAUAUUAGAAGUAUGGUAUUACGUGAAUACCAUUCGAAUUAUGAUAUUGGGAAAAUUGGGACUUAACCCUAGACUUGAAACUUGGAAAAUAUGAUAGUUGAAAUGUUGAUUGACAUCAAGAUUUACGAACUGGAUUAUAAAUUUGGGUGAAUUGUUGGUUCAAGGCUAAACACAUAGUAAUGUGGGUGUUGUUAAUUUCAAAAUCUUAUGGUAGGAAUUUGUUUGGAUAGAUUGUAUUGAUUUGGUGCCCAGUGUAAGGGGAAGACUCAAGUCCCGGAGUGAUUGUUCGACUAUUUGAGGCAAGUGAAUUUCUAAACCCUUGUUAAGUGUAUGGAAUUCGUGUAUUUCCUUGUAACAUGUGUUUGGAGGUAAUGAGACUUGGUGAUGGGUUGACUUGUCCACAUUGAUUAAUUCUAAUAAUGGAAAAGGGGUAAUAAAAGGCAAUGUGAUUAAUUAUUUGUGUGUGAUGUGUUGAGAAUUGUUUGUGACGGGCAUUGGUACGAAUAUCGGUGUUAUAAAGGGAAAGUUUAUUACUAUAGAAUACAGAUUGUAAUCCGAGAAUGUCAAAGCAUAUGGGCAUUAGCUGAUAUAUUAUUGACUUGAUUUAUUAUGUGUGAUUGUGUUCUUUAUUAAACCCGUAUACUGGUGAUAGCUGAGGUAAUUGCAUAUCAUAUUGAUAUUUGAUUAAGAUACAUCAUUCCUUUUAUUGAAAUCAUAUUGUGCACAUGUAUUGACAUGAGAUUGAGUAUAAGUUGGGCACGUGGAGAUCGUCCGUGCUAGGGAUGGUAAGAUGUUAAAAUUAUAAUUUGGCACGUGGAGAUCGUUCGUGUGAAAUUUGUUUGAUUCAUGAUAGUGCGUUGAGACCGUCCGCACAAACACGUAAAGAUCGUCUGUGUCGGUAUAUGGACCUCGCGAGUCCCCCAUGCGUCAUGAACUCUCGAUGUAUUUCCGAGGAGUAUCAUGUAUAUACGGUUGAGAGAGUACUUGGUAUUCUGAGGCAUAUCAUUUCAUGGUGUCAUAUUGCAUUGCAUCCCAUGACGUCCUUCAUUCUUGAUGAUUAUAUAUUUUAUUGAUGGUUGGAAAGUACCUGAUGUUUGAUUACCUCUAUUUGAUGAAUUUGAUCUUAUGUGUUGUUGAUAUUUGUGAGUGCCUUUUUGUGAAAGUUGUGAUUGAUGAAUAUUGAGUUUGUUGUUGAGGAUAUGUAAUUUGUUAAAGUGAUUGUUGUUGAGCUGAGUGUUAUGUAAAUUGUGAACUGUUAGGUUGGACUGGUUUUAUGCAGGUUGUAGUUGUAGAGGUUCGGUUGGGGUGUAAUGAGUACCCGUAUUCUAUUCCCUUAGCUUGUGUUUAGAGAUGUACUUGCUGAGUAUCGUGUGGUUUGGUACUCACCCCUUGCUUCUACAAUUUUUUGUAGGUUACGAGCCUGGAUUUUGUGAUACUUUCCAUUCUCCUAUUUUCCGAGGCUUUUUGGAGAUUUGUGAAGUAGUUGUUUAUCAUCUCAGUGGACCUUCUUACUCCUUAUUUAUGAUAUUGUUCUAUUUUAGAGACAACAUCAUUUGAGACUUACGUUUUCUUUCAAAUCUAUUGUAAUACUUUAGAGGCUUGUACACGUGACAACCAGAUUUUUGGGGUAUUUUUGAGUUAAUUAUGAAAUUUCUGUAUUUUAAUGUAAUGGGUGAGUGUUAGGGUGUGGACAAGCUGAGUCUAAGUAGAGUCUCGAAGAUCGGUACGGAGACGUCAGUACUUAUCUUUGAGAGGCUAUAGUGACUUUUAGGAAAAAUCUUCACUUUUUGAAUCUCUAUCGUGCAUCCUUGGUCCGAUUUGAUCCUUAUCACUUCACUUCAUUCUCACUCAUUUAUGUGAUGACUCAUGCGUAAUUCCUCAUGUGAGUAUUUGGUGUGUUGUAUUUGUCUUGGAUGUUAGAUUUGUUACAAAUAUGGAAGUGAUAGACUUAUGGGAAAGAUGUGUUGUCAGAUUUAGAAUGUUCAACGAUUCGAAUAGAUUGAGUUAAGUUAUGACUUGACGAAACAUUUUGAGGAUAUUUGGAUGGCUAGAUUGAACAGUGGUUUUAGGGACUUCAUGAGCGUAUACUUUUUUUGGGCUAGUCAUCUAGUAGUGGGAUCAAUACUUGUGUGGUAUAGGCAAUAUUUGGAGUGGUUUGACAAUUGAAAGUGGAUGAUUAAAAUGAUGGCUAGAUAAGGAACAUUGUAACUUCGCAAAAUACAGUUACUAAAGUGGUUAUAACAUGUAUGAAUUUCUUAGCGAAUCAUGAGAAAGAUGUUGCACCAAUUGUGGUCAGAACCUCUACUGCGAUUUUAUAGAUUGAAUGUGUAUCAAAGGAGGUCAUGAUCGGACUACUACAAUAGUGUCGAUGUUUACUUGGUUAGAAUUACGGAAUGUGUUACUUCUACUACCAACCUGAUCUAAGAAAUAAUGCAUAUCUCUUGGGAUAGAGACUGAAUAGAUUUAAGAAUGUUUUGUAGAUAUUCAAUAGAUAGAAAUGUGUGGGCUAUUUGGGUACAAUCUUCUCGAUAGGUAUGAUGUGUUCUAGUGAUUGAUCUAAUGGACUUUCAUUAUGUGAUACAGUGGUAUAUGAAAAUGGAUACAUCGAUUGUCAAGUGUGAAUACUAACUACUUAAAGAGUUAUCAAUUGUAUCACAUGCUCAUAUAAUAAGAUUUGAUGUUGCAUUCAUAUUUGAGAAACCAACUAGCUUGUUACUGCGAACGAAUGGGUUAAGCAUUAUUUAUAAGAAAGCUUUUAGUGGUGAAUCGUUGGGUACAAUAUUAAUGCAUUCAGGUUGUAGAAUGUAUCUCGGGAAUUUUAAAUGAGUGGUGAUUUCAUUGUAAGCUCCAUGGAAGUGGAUCGAUAUUAGAAUGACAAGCUUAUGGGUAAAGGAAGUCCCAACGAGUAUACUUGCGUGAAGGUAAUUGAGAAUUUUAGUAAGAAAUUGUGUAUAAAAUUGAGUUAGUCCUUUGGAUUUGAUUGGUAUAACUAGGUUUGAGGUGUCAUAUCGAUGAUAAUGUUGACUUUGUGGUGAUGUUGAUGGUUGCCUGAGCAUAAUUGUAGUAAGAGUUCGUGAUGGAUUGUGAUUAAGAUGCAACUAUAUAAUAAUGAUUGUUGGUUAAAUGGAUUUUGUAUGGUAAUGACGACUUGCAAGUACCUAAUGUUGUGGUUUUCUACUAUUUGAUGAGUAACGUGGUUGCAUGGAAAGUUAUAAGAGGUGCUGAGACACCACUCGAAUAGAAUUGAAAUGUACUAGAGUCAUAAUGAAAAAAUAGUGGGAUGUAGUGUAGCCUUUGGAAAGAGGUGAGGACAACAAUAUUUUCUCUUAUUGCAAGGGCUAAAGAGGUAUCUUCAAAGGAAUUGAGAAUUGAGGUAUAAAGACAUGUGGUUCCAUCUAUUUUACUAUGGUUAUGGUGAUAGUGUUACGUGCCAUUCAUAUCAGUUAAAAGUUGUUGGAUAAGAUUUGAGAAAGAAGUCUAUAGACGUUUGACUCGAGGGUGAUGAUAAGUGCUUUAUUUUUUUGAGUUUGAUAAUUGGUACAAUUGAAUUUUAACGAAGGUUACGGUAAGAUCAAUGGAGAGGCGAUCAAUUAUAGGCUAAGAUACGUGAAUUCAUAAAGAUCUUCAAGGUAUGAGCUAAUGUUGAUAGAUAAUGGGAUUGUGUUACAUAGUUGGAUUCAAAAGUUCAAGUUUUUCAUGGUGAGUUUAUGUUCGUGAUAGUAUGUUUUGUCAAGGUAUGGAUAGAUAAGGUAAGAAAUGAUCGAUCGCUUUGAAUAUUGAACAUUUGGAAGGACUUGUACAUGAUUUGAGUCAUAAAGUGUGUUAUUUUGGUUUUUUCAAUGGACCUAAGAAAAGAUUUCAUUUAAUGUUUUUAUUUAGAGGAUAAGGUAAAAAUGUCAAGGGUUGUUGGCCAAAGAAUAAGAUUGGUGAGCGAGACAACAAAAUGAACAAGUGUCUGGUGUAUUGAAAAGUUCAAGAUAUUUAGACUUUUAUGUCAUGCGAAAGAUUUAAGAAAAAUGAAGGAAUAAAACAUCUCGUAUAAGCCAAUGGUUUGUAGCCUAUUAGUUUAGAUAUAACUGUGAGAUGUGAACUAGUUUGGUACAGACUUACUAGGAAUUUAUCUUCGACUUUUCUAAAGAUUGAGUUUUUGUUUGGUGAUAAGCAAUGAUGUGUGGAAGAUUCUAUGUGGUUAUGUCAAGCUAGAUUGUUUAAAUUAUGAUAGGUAACUUAUUGAUGAUCAACGGUGUGGACCUACAGUUUUAUAUGAUUAAUGAGGAUUUCGAGGGGAUUGAAACUACUUUGUUGAUGGGACGACACAAACAGUUAUGAUGUGCUACAUAGGCAUUUGAUAGUGAGUAAAGGUUAUGAGCUUAUAGUAUACCGAAUUAUUAGAGUGACCAAGAAUUUCUCUAAGUUUUAACAUGAGGUAUAUGAUAGGUUGAAUGGUAAUUGAAACUUGGUAUGUGAAAGAUUGUAUGGAGUUGAAUUUGGGUGUGAUUUAAUAGUUUUAUCUUGAUGGAAAGGUACUAUCAAAUUUGAAAUUAGUGUUAUCAGCCUUGUGUGGAACUCGUAUUUAUCAUAAAAUGCUUAUUUGGAAAGAGAGAGUGCCAUAGUUUGAAAAUUUUGGAGGUGAUAAUGUGUUUGUUAAAAGACUUUGAUACUAGUAACAGUUUGAGAGUAAGGUAAAUGAUUAAUGUGGUUAUGAUGAAUUGUUAAUAUUAGGAGUGUUGACUUUAAUGAAGUAUUGUGAGAUCAUGUGGGAUUCAAUGAAUCGAGUAAUGUUUACGAUUGUAAUGAAGACUAGACUAAUUGAUUGUGGGUGGCUAAAAAUCAAGGAGAUGGAGUUAGAUGGAUGAAAAUGUUUGAUAUGGGCACUAUGGAAGAAGUCUCUAGUGUUAUUCGACUUUGAUUCUAUAUAUUCUUAUAUGACCAUCUACUUCGUUUUGGAUAUGGUUUGGAGUGUGAUUUGCUACCUAUACCCACACAUGUUUUCAUUUCUAUGGGUGAAUUCCUAGUGGUGGAUCGGGUGUACCGAUCCUGUAAUUGUCCUCUUGGUGGGGUGGCAUCCUUGGCUAGACUUGUUCACUUCAGUUGCGGCAUAUUUGGUGUUGUCUGGAAAAGUAGAAGUAUACCAUUGUUUCUAUAUGCACGAUCUUCCUUAUGAGAACUUAUAUAAGAGAUUUCGUGAAUAGUUACAGUUAUCUGACAGUGUUGUUAAAGGUUCUACAUCCUAGACUGUACCACUUGUUAGGUGCUUACUUGAUCUUGUUCUUCUUUGGAUUAGAUAUGUUUGAUUCUCCCUUGAUGGGUACCCGAUGUCUAAAGAUCAGAUUUUUAUAACUUAAGCUUGUGAAAAGAUGGUGUUGUGAAAAGGGAAUCGUGAUAAUAUAUGUGAUGGUAUGUGCAUUAUGAGUGUCUGGUGGUUGAUUCAGGCUCGCUUCUAGUUGUAGUCAGUAUUGAUUCAGAAGGUUUUCUUGGUUAUGUGAGAAAAGAUUCGUCAUGAUGUUUGUGUUAUGGUCCAGAGGGCUUCAGUUUAGCUUUGGUUCAUAGAUUAGUCUGUGGGUUAGUAAUCAAUCGUGAUUUGUAAAUUUGUCAAAUUUGAUUACAAAGUUCAGUAAUUAGUAGUUGAUCUUGAUAGGAUGGUCUUAAGGAGGAGCUCACUAGGAGAGAUGAGCACCGAGUCUAAAAGAUCAUUUCUCAGGCUUUUGGUAACAUCGGUUAUUCUUCCUUCUCCGUCUUUAUGUUCGAGGAUGAACAUGAUUUUUAGUGGUGGAUAAUGUAACGACCCUCUUAGUCGUUUUAUGAAUUUUAAUCAUUAUUUUUAUAUUAACCCUUUUUAGUAGCUUUUACAAAUAAUUUAUAUGACUUAUAAGAAUGAGUGAUAUGAUUGUCAGAUUUAAUAAAAGAUUAUUUUGUUGUUAAUAAUAAUAGAAAAGAAAAAUAAAAUAAAAAAAUUUAAAGAGAAAUAAAAGGGUAAAUAUUGCUGGCUGUUGUGAACAACAACAGUUCGCGCAGAGGGAAAAAAUAGAAAAAAAGAAAGGGUUUGGGCGAGAACUUACCUGCGAGUUGCGGCGUCCCACGAGAGUGACAAUAUUCAGGUAAGAACCUCAAAUUUGAACUGUUUAAUCCCAUAAUAAAUUGUAUAUUCAUGAAUUAAUGAAUGUGUUGUCACUUGGAGGGGAAGGAGUAUUAUAUUGGUUUUUAGAAUGUAUUGUUCUUUCAAUUAAUGUUGUUGUACGUGGGUUUGGGGUACAAGUUUUAGUGGGGUAUUCAUGUGAGGUAGGUCAGGAGGUAAGGAAUUGGAUGUUGGGCAACAUGUUACAGUGGGGGAAGAGAAAGUAUUGUCCUCGAUUGUUAAUUAAUGAGGUGCCCAGUGUAAGGGGAAGACUCAAGUCCCGGAGUGAUUGUUCGACUAUUUGAGGCAAGUGAAUUUCUAAACCCUUGUUAAGUGUAUGGAAUUCGUGUAUUUCCUUGUAACAUGUGUUUGGAGGUAAUGAGACUUGGUGAUGGGUUGACUUGUCCACAUUGAUUAAUUCUAAUAAUGGAAAAGGGGUAAUAAAAGGCAAUGUGAUUAAUUGUUUGUGUGUGCUGUGUUGAGAAUUGUUUGUGACAUGCAUUGGUACGAGUACCAGUGUUAUAAAGGGAAAGUUUAUUACUAUAGUUUGCGGAUUGUAAUUCGAGAAUGCCAAAGCAUAUGGGCAUUAGCUGAUAUAUUAUUAACUUGAUUUAUUAUGUGUGAUUGUGUUCUUUAUUGAACCCGUAUACUGGUGAUAGCUAAGGUAAUUACAUAUCAUAUUGAUAUUUGAUUGAGAUGCAUCAUCCCUUUUAUUGAAAUCAUAUUGUGCACAUGUAUUGACAUGAGAUUGAGUAUAAGUUGGGCACGUGGAGAUUGUCCGUGCUGGUGGUGAGAUGUUAAAAUUAUAAUUUGGGCACGUGGAGAUCGUCCGUGAGAAAUUUAUUUGAUUUAUGAUAUUGCGUUGAGAUCGACCGCACAAAAACGUGGAGAUCGUCCAUGUCGGUAAUGGACCUCGCGAGUCCCCCAUGUGUCAUGAACUCUCGAUGUAUUUCCGAGGAGUAUCAUGUAUAUACAGUUGAGAGAGUACUUGGUAUUCUGAGGCAUAUCAUUUCAUGGUGUCAUAUUGCAUUGCAUCCCGUGACAUCCUUCAUUCUUGAUGAUUAUGUGUUUUAUUGAUGGUUGGAAAGUACUUGAUGUUUGAUUACCUCUAUUUGAUGAACUGAUCUUGUGUGUUGUUGCUAUUUGUGAGUGCCUUUUUGUGAAAGUUGUGAUUGAUGAUUAUUGAGUUUUGUUGUUGAGGAUAUGUAAUUUGUUACAGUGAUUGUUGUUGAGCUGGGUGCUAUGUAAACUGUGAACUGUUAGGUUGGACUGGUUUUAUGUAGGUUGUAGUUGUGGAGGUUCGGUUGGGAUGUAAGGAGUACCCGUAUUCUAUUCCCUUAGCUUGUGUUUAGAGGUGUAGUUGUUGAGUAUCGUAUGAUUUGGUACUCACCCCUUGCUUCUACAAUCUUUUGUAGGUUGCGAGCCUGGAUUUUGUGAUACUUUCCAUUCUCUUAUUUUUUGAGGCUUCUUGGAGAUUUGUGAGGUAGUUGUUUAUCAUCUCAGCGGACCUUCUUACUCCUAUUUAUGAUAUUGUUCUAUUUUAGAGACAACAUCUUUUGAGACUUACGUUUUCUUUCAAAUCUAUUGUAAUACUUUAGACGCUUGUACACGUGACAACCAGAUUUUUGGGGUAUUUUUAAGUUAAUUAUGAAAUUUCCGUAUUUUAUUGUAAUGGGUGAGUGUUAGGCUGACUUGUCUUGGUGGGAUAAGACGAGUGUCAUCACGUCUAUUUUUGGGUCGUGACAAUCAAAGUUUCUCCGCAC